rnacentral:rRNA from 1 species
CAAUAGCGUAUAUUUAAGUUGCUGCAGUUAAAAAGCUCGUAGUUGGAUUUCGGGUGGGAAUGGCCGGUCCGCCGUUUCGGUGUGCACUUGCUACGCCCACCUUGCUGCCGGGGACGUGCUCUUGAGUUCACGCUCGGGACACGGAGUCGGCGAGGUUACUUUGAGUAAAUUAGAGUGUUCAAAGCAGGCCUACGCUCUGGAUACAUUAGCAUGGAAUAACACGAUAGGACUCUGGCUUAUCUUGUUGGUCUGUAGGACCGGAGUAAUGAUUAAGAGGGACAGUCGGGGGCAUUCGUAUUUCAUUGUCAGAGGUGAAAUUCUUGGAUUUAUGAAAGACGAACUACUGCGAAAGCAUUUGCCAAGGAUGUUUUCAUUAA